GAUGAACGCUGGCGGCGUGCCUAACACAUGCAAGUCGAACGGUAACAGGCUCUGUAGCAAUACAGAGUGCUGACGAGUGGCGGACGGGUGCAAAACGCGUAAACAAUCUACCCUAGAGACGGGGAUAACCUUGAGAAAUCAGGGCUAAUACCCGAUACGAUCCCGAAGUCGCAUGACUUUGGGCGGAAAUCCCGCAAGGGGCCCUUGGAUGAGUUUGCGUCUGAUUAGCUAGUUGGCGGGGUAAUGGCCCACCAAGGCGAUGAUCAGUAGCUGGUCUGAGAGGACGGACAGCCACACUGGGACUGAGAUACGGCCCAGACUCCUACGGGAGGCAGCAGUGGGGAAUAUUGCUCAAUGGGCGAAAGCCUGAAGCAGCGACGCCGCGUGAACGAAGAAGUCCUUCGGGAUGUAAAGUUCUUUCGUCGGGGACAAUUAUGAUGGUACCCGAAUAAGAAGGCCCGGCUAACUAUGUGCCAGCAGCCGCGGUAAUACAUAGGGGCCAAGCGUUAUCCGGAUUUAUUGGGCGUAAAGCGCGUGUAGGUGGUCGGUUAAGUCGGGUGUUAAAUUUGGAAGCUCAACUUUCAUACGCGCCCGAAACUGAUCGGCUUUGAGGUCGGGAGAGGAAAGCGGAACUCACAGUGUAGCGGUGAAAUGCGUAGAUAUUGUGAGGAACACCAGUGGCGAAGGCGGCUUUCUGGCUCGUACCUGACGCUAAAGCGCGAAAGCAUGGGGAGCAAACAGGAUUAGAUACCCUGGUAGUCCAUGCUGUAAACGAUGUUCAUUAGGUGUAGGGGGUAUCGACCCCCUCUGUGCCGUAGCUAACGCGUUAAAUGAACCGCCUGGGGAGUACGAUCGCAAGAUUAAAACUCAAAGAAAUUGACGGGGGCCCGCACAAGCAGUGGAUCAUGUGGUUUAAUUCGACGAUACACGAAAAACCUUACCUGAGCUUGACAUCUGCCUGAUCCUCAUGGAAGCAUGGGGUGACCCGCAAGGGAGGGCAAGACAGGUGGUGCAUGGCUGUCGUCAGCUCGUGUUGU
rnacentral:rRNA from 1 species